CCUACGGGAGGCAGCAGUGGGGAAUAUUGGACAAUGGGCGCAAGCCUGAUCCAGCAAUGCCGCGUGUGUGAAGAAGGCCUGCGGGUUGUAAAGCACUUUAAGCAGGGAGGACGGGAAGCGGGGCUAAUACCCUUGCCUCUUGACGUUACCCGCAGAAUAAGCACCGGCUAACUUCGCCAGCAGCCGCGGUAAU
rnacentral:rRNA from 1 species